rnacentral:rRNA from 1 species
AAUGGGCGAAAGCCUGAUCCAGCAAUGCCGCGUGAGUGAUGAAGGCCCUAGGGUUGUAAAGCUCUUUUACCCGGGAUGAUAAUGACAGUACCGGGAGAAUAAGCUCCGGCUAACUCCGUGCCAGCAGCCGCGGUAAUACGGAGGGAGCUAGCGUUGUUCGGAAUUACUGGGCGUAAAGCGCGCGUAGGCGGUCCAUCAAGUCAGAGGUGAAAGCCCGGGGCUCAACCCCGGAACUGCCUUUGAAACUGGCGGACUAGAAUCUUGGAGAGGCGAGUGGAAUUCCGAGUGUAGAGGUGAAAUUCGUAGAUAUUCGGAAGAACACCAGUGGCGAAGGCGACUCGCUGGACAAGUAUUGACGCUGAGGUGCGAAAGCGUGGGGAGCAAA